AUUGAACGCUGGCGGCAGGCUUAACACAUGCAAGUCGAGCGAGCGGCGGACGGGUGAGUAAUGUCUGGGAAACUGCCUGAUGGAGGGGGAUAACUACUGGAAACGGUAGCUACUACCGCAUACCAUCAGAUGUGCCCAGAUGGGAUUAGCUAGUAGGUGGGGUAAAGGCCCACCUAGGGGACGAGCUCUAGCUGGACUGAGAGGAUGACGUGGCAAACUGAAGAGGAGAAACGGCCAAGACGCCUACGGUAGGGAGCAGUGGAGAAGAUGGAGGAGUGGGGGAAACGCAGAAGAAGGCAUGCCGCGUGUGUGAGGAAGGACAUCAGGUAGUAAAGUACUUUCGGUGGCGAGGCGUUAGCUGCAGAAGAAGCACCGGCUAACUCCGUGCCAGCAGCCGCGGUAAUAC
rnacentral:rRNA from 1 species